rfam:Pyrenophora teres f. teres 0-1 contig_001319, whole genome shotgun sequence.
ACAUACGACCAUAGGUUCAAGGAAAAAGCGCUUCCCGUCCGCUCAGCGGUACUCAAUCUUGUGACCGGCGGAUUAGUAGUCAGGUGGGUGACCACUGGCGAAUCCCCGCUGUUGUAUGUU